GAAAAGAAAUUGGGUGCUUUAUUUAUUUUAUUUGUUCCUCAUUGUAUUAUGAUAUGACAGCAAAGCAUUCAAUUCCUUGUUGAAAAAAAGAGUUCAGUGAAUAAAUAAAAAAGAAGCUGAACAAGCACAAAAACAGUACAUGAAAAAAACAAAGCAUAAAAGCUAAACAUAUCGAUGAUGUUUCUGUUUAAGCAAAUUUAUAAAACAAUAAAUAAAGUAAAAAAUGAUAAUCAUACUAGCAAAAUAUGAAAAAAUAAAAAGCUUUAAAAAAACAUCAACAAAGCUUAUCUAAGGAAAGAGAAAGAUUUUUUUUUUAUCGAAUAAGGGAAACAACAUCUAAGUUUUUGAAGAUAUAGUUGUAAACGCAGAGCUUUUUUUUUUUUUUUGCUCAUGUUUUGUUAGGUACAAUAAAUAAUUUUUUUAAAGUAAUGGUACGAGAGAAAUAACGUGUUCAAUUAUCUAAGAGGACGAAAUCCUAAAUAUUUAUAAGUAUCUGUGAAUACUGAAGUAUUAAUUUCCCAUGUUGGUAACUAAUAAUUAAUUGACUAAUUGUUGUUUUUUAAAGUCUUGUCUAUGACAAUGAAUAAUUGUGCAAAGUUUUAACUUGAUCCAAGAAUGGGUGUGGGAGAAAUAUCGUGUACACACUUUUUACCAGACAGAGUGAAUUUAUAUUAGCUUUGCUCAACAAGCGAUAAGAAAACUGGAUAAGAUAAACUUUGUACUAAAGAAACCUACAAUUUUGUAUUAUGUAUUGAUGAAGCUUAUUUCUACCAUGAUCAUCUUAUUUAACGGUGCUUAAGUCUAUAUUUUAAAUUUUAUAUGCAGGUUAGAAAAUAGUUUAAAUCUGCUACAAAAGAAGGU